GCUUAUGUCAAGGGAAAACUUCAAACGUCCCACCCCGAGACCCGAGGAGCCAUGCUAAUGUCUAGGGCAAACGUCCCACCCCGAGACUCGAGAAACUAUGCUUAUGUCUAGGGCAAACUAUAAACGUCCAUCCUGAGACUCGGGAGAACUAUGCUUGUACCUAAGACAAACCAUCCUGAAACUAGGAUAUCCUUUAGUAUGUCGGCAUGGCAAUAUCGAAAGAAAAAUCGUGGUUGUGUUUGGAGCUGUCCGAUGGAUAAGCACCGGAAGUAGAAACGCGAGAGGCGUGCAAAAGCAAAGGUCUCGCUGAGGGUUGUGUGUCGAGUGAAUUCGGUGUAAGACGCGAGGCCCCUAUUCAGGGAGCACUUUGUUGCAGCUCGUUAAGAUGGGCAAAAAAAAAGGCUGCGGUCGUGUAAGGUUGCGCGACAAUGCGUCGUCGGCCCAAGCGAUUCUGCUUAAGAUUAUUAACGAAAGCGACGUUGACUCUCUUAAGGUACCAUCCAAGCCUGGUUGCCCGGGUGGAUCCUUAAUGCCGAGGAAUACCUGUUUUAUUCAGGAAAGGUAGUUUAGCGACCCACUUUCUGAGGCACUUGUGUCGAGAAAGACCUGCAAUCAGCGAAGGGUAAGCGGUCGCUUCUGGAGGCAAAGUGCGGGGCGUCUUCGUUCGCGAGAUGGACGGUUUCACCGUUGAAACUCCGCACAUGCGAUUGAUGCGAUGGGCUUGGCUAACUAUUGCUUUCGCUCUGAGUGUGCCCAUCGCAAAGUACUUACAUAUAAACGCGAUCCGGUAAUAGUGCUGUGUCCAUUGUAUCGGGGGGCCUGACACGGGGAGUCUGAAAGGGGGGGAUGAAGCUCCUGUCUCUGGGACCAGAGGGGUGCAGACUCCCCUCCGUUCUUGGAGGGUAUAAGCGUCUCUAAACCGUCUUUUGACUUAACGUCUUUGCUUUCUAGCUCUGGCGUUGAAAAGGACCCUGUUUCAUGCAGCCCAUUGGCAGCCGCUGAAUCAGGUUGAUGACGAUAUAGGUUUGGGAUGAAUGCUUUGAGCUGACAUUUCACAAUGCCGUGAGGGCUUCGGCUCGUUUCAAUGCCACCCCAAGGCACACAAGACGUUUUGGGACGUCUUCUAUGGGUUGGCGCCACGGUAAUGCGUGCUCCCUGCGCUUCAGUGGAUAAUACACCCUGACCCCCUCAGCCGAGCUCGAGCCAGAUAGGAGUGGUUCCUCUUCAUAGGUCGGAGGUAGGCUUUAGUACUGAGCAGAAUUAGAGCUCUAGUAGUAGUUACUAUGGCAAGGUUCUCUUGAAUGGUGGGGUGAAACUAGGUAAGUAGUAGUUACUAUGGCAAGGUUCUCUUGUAUGGUGGGGUGAAACUAGGUAAGUAGUAGUUACUAUGGCAAGGUUCUCUUGUAUGGUGGGGUGAAACUAGGUAAGUAGUAGUUACUAUGGCAAGGUUCUCUUGAAUGGUGGGGUGAAACUAGGUAAGUAGUAGUUACUAUGGCAAGGUUCUCUUGAAUGGUGGGGUGAAACUAGGUAACCAGCUCCGGAGAGCCUGUAACGCAUGUGAUCUUUCGGCGUUUGUUAGGGGGGUAACGAAACUGAAAAGCUCUGGGGGUAUUCGAGGGUCGAUAGAGGGACUCGACCUCUCUUGGUGAGCGAACAUGUGUUUUGCCCAAUGCCAUGAGGGAUGAGUCCGCAAUUGGGUGCUAAUUUCCCCGUGCUGUUUCAUCAGAUAGCCAAAGGUAGCCAAAUGCCUCGUCAUCUUAUUAGUGACGCGCAUGAAUGGAUUAACGUGAUCCCCACUUUCCCUAUCUACUAUCUAGCGAAACCACAGUCAAGGGAACUGGCUUGGCACAAUCAGCGGGAAAAGAAGACCUUGUUGAGCUUGACUCUAAUCUGACCCUGUGAAAAGACUUGAGAUGUGUAGAAUAGGAGGGAGUAGCAAUAGAUCUGUGAAAUACCACUAAUCUUAUCGUUUUUUACUUACCCGAUGAAGCGGAAGCAAACCGCAAGGUUCCCGUUUGGAUUUGAGGUCUCUCUUUUGCAGGCCGAUCCGUGUCAAAGACACUAUCAGGUUGGGAGUUUGGCCGGAGCUCAAUGAGAACAGAAAUCUCAAACAAAAGGGUAAAGGCUCACUUGAUUUUGAUUUUCAGUAUGAAUACAAACUGUGAAAGCAUGGCCUAUCGAGCCUUUAGACUUUAUGAGUUUUUAGCUAGAGGUGUCAGAAAAGUUACCACAGGGAUAACUGGCUUGUGGGAGCCAAGCGUUCAUAGUGACGUUGCUUCUUGAUCCUUCGAUGUCGGCUCUUCCUAUCAUAGCGAAGUAGAACUCGCUAAGUGUUGGAUUGUUCACCCACUAACAUGAGCUCCUUCGUGAGACAGGUUAGUUUUACCCUACUGAUGAAGUGUUGUUGCAAUAGUAAUUCUGCUCAGUACGAGAGGAACCGCAGAUUCAGACAAUUGGCAUUUGCACUUGGCUGAAAAG
rnacentral:rRNA from 1 species